AUGCUCCCUGAGCUGCUUGAGUGAGGAGAGCUGAAAGAGCUCUAGCCCAUGGCGUACUUCUGCGUCCACCCCCUUGCCGUGGACUCGUAUCUGAGGCGGUCGGUCUUGCACAUGUGCGCGAUCUCCGGCACCAGCGGGUCGUCCGGGUUUGGGUCCGUCAGCAGCGAGCAAAUGGAGAGCAGGACCUUGGAGAUGGUCAGCGCCGGGCUCCACUGCUCCUUGAGAAUGUCCAGGCAGAUGUUGCCGUUGCUGUUAAUGUUCGGGUGGAACACCUUCGUCUUGAACGCCACCUGUUUCAUUUGUUCGUGGUUUUCAUUCAUUCAGUUCGUCGUCGUCGAUGAGCAUGAGAUUCUCAGCUCAGACUUCAUAACAUUGCAUAAUUCAGCGAAAUUUUGGAGAUGAAGAGUGGGUGAGUACCUUGGGAGGCUUGAAUGGAUAGUCUGGAGGGAAGUGGAUGGUGACCAGGAACACGCCUCCAGAGUAGGGGCUGUCGCUGGGGCCGAUGAUCGUCGCUUGCCAGUGGAAUAUGUCAUCAGACACAGGGCCUGAUCACAAAGAACAGUUGAACCAGAAUUCAGAAGAAAGAAAAUUCAACUUUGAACUUCCUUUUUCUUUGGGGUCUGAAAUUGUAUGCCUGACCAUGUGUACACCAAACUGAUUGAUACCUGCGCUGCAGGACGUCGGUGGAUCCCUCUGCAGGUCCUUGAGCUCCUUGAUGAUUCUCCGCAGCGCCAUGGAUAUCGGAUCCUUGCACUAGCUCCUGAACAGCUCUUGAAAGGAAUGAAGAGUGCCUUAUUGAUCUGAAAGUCUCAAACUGCACAACUAACGAAACCGGUUUGCUUCGGUGUCCGGG
rnacentral:lncRNA from 1 species